CCUACGGGAGGCAGCAGUGGGGAAUAUUGCACAAUGGGCGAAAGCCUGAUGCAGCGACGCCGCGUGAGGGAUGACGGCCUUCGGGUUGUAAACCUCUUUUCAGCAGGGAAGAAGCGAGAGUGACGGUACCUGCAGAAGAAGCGCCGGCUAACUACGUGCCAGCAGCCGCGGUAAUACGUAGGGCGCAAGCGUUGUCCGGAAUUAUUGGGCGUAAAGAGCUCGUAGGCGGCUUGUUGCGUCGGUUGUGAAAGCCCGGGGCUUAACCCCGGGUCUGCAGUCGAUACGGGCAGGCUAGAGUGUGGUAGGGGAGAUCGGAAUUCCUGGUGUAGCGGUGAAAUGCGCAGAUAUCAGGAGGAACACCGGUGGCGAAGGCGGAUCUCUGGGCCAUUACUGACGCUGAGGAGCGAAAGCGUGGGGAGCGAACAGGAUUAGAUACCCUGGUAGUCCACGCCGUAAACGUUGGGAACUAGGUGUUGGCGACAUUCCACGUCGUCGGUGCCGCAGCUAACGCAUUAAGUUCCCGCCUGGGGAGUACGGCCGCAAGGCUAAAACUUAAAUGAAUUGACGG
rnacentral:rRNA from 1 species